UACAGAGGUCUCAAGCGUUGUUCGGAAUCACUGGGCGUAAAGCGCACGUAGGCGGCUUUCUAAGUCAGGGGUGAAAUCCUGGAGCUCAACUCCAGAACUGCCUUUGAUACUGGAGAGCUUGAGUCCGGAAGAGGUGAGUGGAACUCCGAGUGUAGAGGUGAAAUUCGUAGAUAUUCGGAAGAACACCAGUGGCGAAGGCGGCUCACUGGUCCGGUACUGACGCUGAGGUGCGAAAGCGUGGGGAGCAAACAGG
rnacentral:rRNA from 1 species